rnacentral:tRNA from 1 species
GCACUGGUGGUUCAGCAGUAGAAUCAUCACCUUCCAUGUGGGAGACCAGGGUUCGAUUCCCAGCCAAUGCA